rnacentral:rRNA from 1 species
UACGUAGGGGGCUAGCGUUGUCCGGAAUCAUUGGGCGUAAAGCGCGCGUAGGCGGCCAGAUAAGUCCGGUGUGAAAGUCAAAGGCUCAACCUUUGAAUGCCGCUGGAAACUGUCUGGCUUGAGUCCGGAAGGGGCGAGUGGAAUUCCUGGUGUAGCGGUGAAAUGCGCAGAUAUCAGGAGGAACACCAAUGGCGAAGGCAGCUCGCUGGAACGGUAACUGACG